AAACGAAUUAGAUAUUAUUCGUAAGCAUACCGCCCAAUUUUUUCACAAAUUGCGCUCAACUUUUCCUUCAAAUUUUUUUGCGAAAUUUUUUUCCGCUGAAAACUUUUACUUCCCUCCACUCUCUUCCGUCUUCUCAACUUAGGUUUAGAUAAGUUUUCUCUCAUCCUCCAUAGGUGAUACCAAAAGCUUGAACUCGAACUCGAAACGCAGGAUUCUGGGGCACGGUGUGAAUUAAUCGCGCAAACGGUGAUCGGGUUUUCAUCCUGGAUUCCUAACCUGAUUUUACAAAACUCCAUUGCAGCUGUUUCAUCGCAAAUUCAAGGUUUUCAGAAAACAUGAAUUCCAUCUUUUGUUGAUUUCACGAAGCAUAUUCAGAGCAAACGAAUUCACCCUUCUCUGUCGAUUUCACGAAGUAGUUCCAGGACACUGUGCUACCUGACUACCUGAGCGUGGCAUGUCAGUUGCCAGUAUCCAGCGGCGCACCGAGGAAUAUAUAAAUGGAGCUUAUGAUUGGAUUUUUACUUAACAAUUCAAAGAAGAGGGCAGUUGCAAGAGCGCGAUUUCAUGCCUCACGAGCCUAACACUUCAAACACAACAAACGGUGAAGUCAGACUUAUUUGGGGAAGCACGUGAUGUUAUCGACCUAUAAUAUUUUAGUUGUUUCGUUGUUACAUUUUAGUGGUUAAUUAGUUAUUUAUCCUGUCAGUUGCAGAUUAUUAGACAAUCACAUUUUUUAAAGUUUUUAAGAUUAUUGGACAGCUAUAUAUCACCAAUGUAAUGAUUUGUGACUUAAUAUGUAUGAGUCAUUUAUUUAUAACAUUAUUUUCAUCGUAUAA